GCGACCCCAGGUCAGGCGGGAUCACCCGCUGAGUUUAAGCAUAUCAAUAAGCGGAGGAGAAGAAACUUACAAGGAUUCCCYUAGUAACGGCGAGCGAACCGGGAAUAGCCCAACUGAGAAU
rnacentral:rRNA from 1 species